rnacentral:misc_RNA from 1 species
GUUUUUCCCCAAAAAAAAAAAAAGUUUGUCUUGAAACCACAAUGCCAAACAAGCAUAAAAAAUGGCCCAUGUGUCAGACUCUAAUUUUAGAGCUUUAAAUAUGACUUUUGGCACGAGUGGCGCAUACACAAGAAAUGAAUCAUGAAUAUCUGCUCAUGUCCCAUUACCUGACAUCCCAUUGUUCCUGAAGCAUCAAAGAAGCCAUAUAAACCAGCCGCUAGGAAGAAUUGAGAAUUCUGCAUAUUCCAAAAACAAGGUUAACAAUCAUAAUUCGCAGACAAGGCCUAGUUUCUGGGGUAACAUAUUCAAACAUGGUGGUUUUUUCAAUGGCCCACACAUGAAACAUCAAGUGGUCCUCAUGUUUAAAAUUGCACCACUUAAAUAUUGAAAGCAGCCACACUUCAGCUUUCUACUCCAUCAAAAUGUGCCACACACUAAAUGAACAUUGUAAAAAUAGUCCUCCUUUUACACCACAUUCUGCCGCGUAUGUGUGAACCAUUCGCUCUAUCUAUUCUUUUCAAUGAACUCUUCACAGCUAUGCCUCUGAUCAUUCUCAAGUCUCAACAUCAUUUGCUUGCAGGAAAUGGUCCUUUAACUCCUUUGGCUUUUCUAGCAGCCAAACUAGGAAAGUCCCUUCCCUCUGUUCUAACAAUGUGUAGUUGUCGCCAAAUAGAACAAUAGAAAAGUAGGAACCAAAACAAUAAAAGAAAAAAAAGAUCUAAUGUCAAAGAAACAUUAAAUAAAUUCUCACUCAAUGGAAAUGAAAAUUCCACAAUGUAGUAGCCAAAUUCAGAUUGAAUUGGUGCCUCGAGGUGCAUCAACAGUGCAAUUAUCAAUUGAUAUCAACGAGAAUCUCACUGUAGAAAUCAUCAGGAAGCACAAGUCUAAUCUAUCAAAGUAAAGAGAAAGUUGAGAUAGUUAUCUGGAUAUUAUACAAAAAUGAAAACUGCGCCUAAAUAUGAAUCAAAGGCAACAGAUAUCUUCCCUCAGAGGAACUGAAGCACUGGUCACGCGCUUGACUGCACCACCUGGGAAAUACACCUGCAAAUCCUCAUAAUCCUUGAAUACCCAACUCUAAGACCAUCAACUGCAGCUUUUAUUUUAGCUGAUAGUGACUCAGGCAGUGAGAUGUAUGUCCCAGAAACGGAAGCUUGUAGCUGACAUGGAAAGAUGUCUGAAGGAUAUAUCCCACUGUUUCAGAAAUCCAUUUGUCAGACUGUAAACAUUUAGCAAACCAUAAAUCUACAUAAACAGUACGAGGUAAAAUUGAUGACAUCAUAUGCAACAAGUUGUGACUUCCUACAGGUUAAAGGUCCAAUCCAAACUCACCAUCUUGGAACACGGUUUAGCUCUAUUUAUUUGCUCAAUCAUUUUUCUUUUAAAUUUUGAAAACAUAUAUGUUCUUUUUACUAAUAUUGUCAAAAUUUCUAGCAAUUAAAAAAUGAAACCAACCCAAAAGAAAAUAAUGGCCUCUAAAUAUCACAUCUAUAGUGAGACUCUAAGCAUUCAUAACCAGCAAGUUCAAAAAUUAGGCAACUCGGAUGACCAUUCAGAUCAAGCGUCUUCAAUUUUUGGCCUAAUACAAACACUUCCAUCAUGCAGGGUGCUUAAAAAUCAGGAGCAAGAAAUAGCUUACCAAACUGAUCUAACUUUUAUAAUGAAUAAACACAUGCAUUCAACCCACAUUACACAUGCUGCAAAAAAACUAAUCUCCUAAUUUGAAUGUGGUCCGCUUAUUUUUACUGAAUGUGCUGCUGUAAGUACAUUGCCACUUUUUAUGGCCAAUUACUACCUGACUGAAAAUAAGUUUUGAAAUAAAGCAAUAGCAUUACCUUACGAAGACAAUGCUUGCAAAAUAAAAAUGUUACUACAGUGACAAAUUUUGCAAAAGUCAACUUCUUUGUAAGGUUGACGCAUCCAACAGCAGAUUAGUCGAUUGGUCUUAUCACAUACUAUUGGUCAUAGGAUGAGAAACAAGUUCCAUCGUAAUCAGAGGCUAAAACAAGUUCCAUCAUGUCAAAUGGCUGAAUUUCGAAGGUAGGUGUUGCACUCAAGAAACAUGCCAAAAAAAAAAAGAGAGAACAGUUAUUACAUUUUAAGCUUAAUAUGUUCACAAAAGUAAACCUAAAUGAUCCCCAUUGAUGUAAGGGGAAGUAGUGAAAACAGGUUCAGCUACUCUAGAUCUUUCUGAGAUGUAGACCUAAAUUAGGUAGCAUGGAAUAUAAAAAUCCAUGCAGCCGAUGCAAACUAGUUUGAGAUUAUGGUUUAGUUGAAUUGAGUACAAGUGAUUCCUAGAGUGUAGAACUGACUAACAGAAGUAUUUAUCUAAUGAUAUUUGCAAGUAGGUGCAAAUAUCCGGUGCAAUGGUGAGAACCUUGACAUAGAACAUGCAAACUUCACAGGCUUCUGUCAGUUGCCAGUUCAUGCCAAAAUAAUAAGGGUAUGCCUGUAUCAGGACCUACCCUAGAUGGAAAAGUUUAAGCAACACGAACACUGGCCGGCAGGUCAGUGAAUUAGUGCAUAACUUAAUCAGUUCAAAAUAUUGCUUUGCUCUACUAAGAUACAUUGAGUUUACAUAACCUUUAGUAAUAAUGAAAAAAAUAUAAGUUGUGCAAAUUUUACCAUUUCAAACAUGUCAUGUCAAGAGUCACCAUCACCUUCCUACCAUUGUUAAAAUCAAUGAAACAAAGCUGCAAAUCCAGCUGCUCAACUGCAAAUAACAAAAACAUACGAAGUUACCAAAUGAAGGUUAGUUCUGGCCUACUGGAGUAUAAGUUUAUAAAUAGGAAUAAUUUGAAACCAAAAAUAUAAAAUAAUAGGCAAUGAAUGAGAGAGCUGAAUAAUAGGUAAAUUCAAACUGAAUUUCCCAAGGGCAGAAUAUAAAUGCAAAUGCAAAUGCUUCAAUGGCCAUGGUCCAAAGUCUAUAAAUAAUAAUAUAGUAUAGCUAAAUCAGUUGAUUCAAUUAAUCAAUUCUCUCAAGGGUGAAAAUAUUAUGCAUGAAAAAAGAAAUAAAUGUACUAAGAGGGAUUUGGAAAAUCAAGAAGCAUAUGUUGGCUUCUUAAACCCUUUUGCAACAGAGUCACCAUAUCCCAUGCAACUCACUGAACCAGAUCAAUUUUGAAGGACUGACGAGAGUGAACUACUAGGUAGGCCCAUAAAGUAUUCUAUUAGGAUAACCAUAUGUAAUUUGUGCCUCUGCAACCAGGAAUCUUGGUAUGAGGUUGGCAAUAAAGCAUCAAACUUCUCCAAAUUACCACUAAGCACCAUGAGGCUUUACCUUGACGAUGUAAUAAUGACAUGAGUUAUUUGACAUUGCAUUUCCUAUCAUACCAAAUGACUACUAGAGAAUGUAGAAAUGCCCUUAUCAUGAUUUCUACAAACUCAAUAUUUGAUUUGAGUACCUGUAGUCUAAAUUACACUAAAUUUCAAGCAAGCCACCUUUUAAGAAUAUAAUGCAUUUGGUCAAUGUCAUAAUCCCAAGCCCACAGACAAAUAAGGAGAAACAUAAUCACAAAAGCAUUAUCAGUUACCAGAGGAAGAACGAAAGCAUGUGUGGACCAAAUUUCUAAUUUCUAAUUGUGCUAAUUGUACUUCUGCAACCACAUCAAGUAGAUUAUGCAGUAGUGAACAGGUAAUUUGUGUUUCUUGUGCAAAACUUUUGGACCCAAUGUGCCUCUUUAUGUUCUUAGCAUUUAGAACACAUGCAAAUGCUGACCAAGCAUCCAUGUUAGGGAAGUUCUUUGUGAUGGUGAUGCCAUUCAAUGUGUUUAAAACAAAUAUACUAGGAAUAGGACCAUCGUUUAUUGUAAAUCUUUGGUAGAUUAAGCCUUGGUAGUUGAGAACAAGAUUUUGUUUCUCAUUCCUGCUCCCAAAAUCAUCAACUUCCCACAACUGCAAAUCCUCAUGUACAAGCCUGCAAGAGGUUUUCUUCUUCAGGUGAUCAUUGAGCAGUACAAUUGUCUCAGAACAGCUUUUUUCUCCCUUCAUUUUCAAGUAAUUGUGGAAAGAUUUGGUUAGAUUCUUUAUUUUCCUAUCUAAAGCUUCACACUCAUGCUUCAUCGUGGCCACUUUUUCCCGGCAAACCUCAUGUUUGCUGCCCAAAUUAGACGUGCAUGAAUUUCUAAUAUUAUCAACUAUAUUAUCCCUGUCACUAGGUGAAAAUAGAAAUCUUCUAUUUGACUUCAGCAUCUCAGACCUAUGAAUUGCGAAGCUCAGUUCUUGUGCUCUUCUCAGUAAUUUAUCAUGCUUGACAGACUUUAAUUGCUGCCUUGCCCUUUCAUACACUAACUUAUAAAGCAACAUUUUUGUUUCAGCCACUCUUUUAUGCCUAACUUCACUGGACUGAUCAUACAUUUUCUGAGGCUGUAUUUGGGUACAGAGUAUCUCAUAAACCUUAAUCUUCUCCUGGUGAACCAAAAUAUCUUGUAGAACACCUAUCGAUAUUAUAUUUAGUUUAUCUAUAAAUGGAGAGAACAACUGCUGCAUAUCAGUUGAAAAUUUUGUAGAAAUAUCACUCCAAUGCUUCAUCAUUGUGUCGCUUCUGAUCAUCUUUCUUUUAUCAUCACUUCCACUAGCACAGGCCAACAUGAACUCCAAAUUAGAACCCUGACCUCUAUUAAUGUUUGGACUACUCUUGAUUCUUCUAAUUGUAUCUUCAUGAUUUCCUUCAUCAGGCACUAAUUUUUCACUUCUUUUCUGUAGAGCAAAAUUUUCAAUAUCUUGUGCAGGAAUUUGGCUCUAUGAAACAUGGAGUUCUAGAUGGCUAUCACUGUCACCAGGUCCACUGGUAUUGGAGUUUGGAGACAGCACAUCUUUCCCAGCCAACAAUUGUACAUUCUCAUCAUUAGACACAUCACAUAGUUCUUUCCUAGAUAGACUUCGAGAUAGCUCCUUCUCAAUGGGACUCGAGUCAUUACUUUAUUAAUGGGGCUCUUCAACAAUGAUGGCUCAUUCACAUUUCUCCAAUGAACGUAGAGGGAAUCUGGGGCAGGAAGAGAAGCUUCAUUCCGCUUCCCAGGAAGUUCCUCUUUAGAAUAGAUUGGGUCAGUUGCACAAGGGAUAUUGCAAUCUGGGCUUCCUGAGAAAAACUUCAGGGCACUCAUCUCCCUUGAAGGAGUUCUUACAUCUGGUAAGGUUUCAGAUUCAUUUUGCACAUCAGCAGGGUAACUUUGCUCGUCAUGCACCUUUUCCACUUGAUUAAAGUCUCCAAAAUGAUUAAUCUCUAUAACAGAUGAGGUGGAUAGCUUGGUCCCUUCAGCAAACCAGGAUUCUGAUUCAUCGGUUACUGCAGCAGAAUGACUAUUGUUGGUAACAUUACCUAUUGAAGUCUUAACUUGUCCUAAGCCAAUGCUAACAAGCUCAAUCUUCUGAAGGCCACGAGGGACAGUACUGUGAUUUUCUGUUGAUGAGGCUAGCCUCUGAUCCAACAUUUUUCCUGGAUAAACAAACACAUCAGGUUGUCUGCUUGUUUUCACAUCAUUGCCAUGUUCCAGUUUAAUCUCAACCGAUGGGGAAUCAGAUCCAUAAAAGACCACCACCUGUUUUUGCAAGUUCUCUGGCAUCAAAAUGUGUUGGCUGACUUUAUUCUGCAAUGAAGUGAACUUAGAAGGUGACGCCACUUCUGACAUCAGCUGAGUAUCACUCGUCUUAGAAAGAGUAUGUGAAGACAUAGGAAUCAGAGAUUCUGCACCUUCUCCAAGGCUUAUAGUGCCCUCCAUUUCACUCAAACUGCCAUCAUUCUUUGGGCUCCAUAUACCAGCAUUAUACUUAUAGUUUGUUCUCUCAUGAUCCAUGUUCUUCUGAUCAACACUAGAUAAAUGCUUUUCUAAAUUAGAAACCAGGGCAUCCACAUUUUUGCCCUCAAUGUCUUUGUUGUUUUCUUCACCAACAGCAUUUAGGGGAGAAGUUGUAGAUGAAUGGAGCUUUAAUAACCUAAGUUUUGAUUUUUCAAUUACAUCUUUCAACGAAUUGGCAAGAGGAGAGGUAUCAAAAAUUUUGAACUUAGAACUGGUUUUGUAAAAAGGCAAAAUAUUCUCACCACUCUUUAUAUUUUCCCUGCCAAAAAAAGAACCUGGUUGCUUCGGGGAAGGAGUCAUAUAUGAUAAUUGUCUACUGGAUUUAGCAGCAUCCAAAAAAUUUUGCUGCUGUUUAGAGGACAAUGAGGAUAUGGACUCAACUGCUGGAGAUCUAUGAUGUUGAUCAGAAUUCUGAUAAACAGCAUAAUUUCCGCUUCUAUUGCUAGUAGAUGUUUCUUCCAAGCAGCCCUCAAUGGAAGUUUUCCUAUAUUCAUGUAGUGAAAAUACAUUCAACUGAGGAACUUUACCGUACAUCCUCUGAGCACCAACACUAAACUCAAUAUUAAGCAUAUUCGUCCCAAUCAGAGCUUUACUAUGGUCAUUAUUCACUUUGCUUAGUAGAUUAGGCGUUUGCAUUUGCUGAUCAACAGAUACAUCAGCUUCCAAAUCUUCAUUACUAUGAGAUGAGGGACCACUAGUACUCUGAUUAACAAGGGUGAUCAAGGAAAUACCAUUCACCUCAUCCAAUUCCAUGCAAGCUGCAGAUACUCCCUCAGUAUAUGUGUCUAGCUUAGCAAUAUUUCUUGUUUCUUUAUCCUUGCAAACUUUUUCAUCUAUGUGGCCACUCAAAUUCUCAUCGAAUGUAGAAAGCUUCCUCUUCAAUGUUUUUCCAUUGUUAGAAUCAGAAACAGAGGAAUCUUGCAAAUCUUUACUGCCUUCUGCCAAAAGUGCUUCCAGUGUAGGAGAAAGUUUCCCGUAAUCAUAAUUGUGUGGGUUUUCUCCAACAAGACUCAUGUCACUUGAAUCUCUCCCACAACUAACUUUCUCAAAUGGAAGAGAAACAUGUGGAAUUAGCUUCUUAGCUUUUGUUAGUACGAUAAAACUUCCUGAAUCAGAAGGACUGCUUAUGUGGGAAGGUGUUUUCUCUUCAAGAGUUUUUCCUCCUGAAUCUGAUUUCACGAGACUAUGGAAAUGCAUUGAAAAUGCUGUGGAAUCCAUUGUAAUAUCAUGAUUAUCAUCUGAGGCAGCAGAGUCAGAUAAUCGCCCAGGUCUGAUAAAACUUGCUGAUACAGGCCCAAAAAAGUUGUCUUCUGAAAAAAAGCAACAGUAUGAAAUGCUUCAACAUUUCUUCUUAAGAAAUUGCCAUCUGGUGAUGCAUAUGUGAAGAGUAAGAAAUGAUAACUUUAUUUUCUGAGCGAUCUUGCAAGAUUGAAUUUUAAAAUUUAAACUGAUUAUCUGAAAUAAUAAGGGUAAAUUCGCUGGCUCGAACCACCUGAGUCUUUAUACACACAACUGGAAUAGCCCCUCUCAAAUUCUUAUCAAAUUAGCAUCAAACUAGAUCUUCCUCAGUUAUGCAGCAGGCACAGUUAUCUCUGCUACAUCAAGCACCUGUAGAAAACCCCUAAUUCAAAUUUAACUAAUCAACAUUCAGUUUUGAAUUUGUGGUGACAUAAGAGUGAAGCAGAAGAAGCCAAUCCGGUUUAUUAGAAACGUAAACAUAUAACAGUCAAACUAAUGCAAACCUAAAGAAAGCUUCAAAACCAGCAAAAUUUAUAAGAGAAAACGGAAUCGACAAAAUAAAACAAACCAUCAUUCGAAGUAGCAGAACCAACAAUAGUACUUCCAGGAGACGGUGACUCAACUGGCCUCAAAAACGACUUCCUCGCAUUGACAAUGUCGUCUUCAUCGUCUUCGUCUCCGGUUGGAGACAUUUCUUUGGAAUCAUCACUAUCAGCGAGGUCCCUGAAAAACCCUAGCACCUCAUUCUCCGCCUCGGCGGCAUUGCCGGAGCUGGGAUCCUUCGCAGAGCAGUCUGGAGGGGUCUCAUAGUCCUCAUCUCGGUUGAAGAUGUGGACGGAGGUAAUCUCACGGUCAGCGAAGCUCACGCGCCGCGAACGCUUCUUCCUGACAGCUAUGGUUUCCUCGUCGGUCUCGGUGUUGCAGGUGUCUUCAACAAUCGGGGGAUUUGAGGCCAUGAUUGAGCGGAAAAUCGCGAUAAUAGGAAAGGAUUAUGAAAUUUACAGCUAGGGUUUGAAUUUGAAUUGCAUUUUGGGAGACUGGAACUGACAAGUGAGGAUGAUAGUAGGGAGAUCUGAAAGGGCGGAAAACUAGAUGGAUUAAAACGCGGCAAGUCUGGUUAUUU